rnacentral:lncRNA from 1 species
GCCAUAAAAAAGGAUGAGUUCAUGUCCUUUGUAGGGACAUGGAUGAAACUGGAAACCAUCAUUCUCAACAAACUAUCACAAGGACAAAAAACCAAACACCGCAUGUUCUCACUUAUAGGUGGGAAUUGAACAAUGAGAACACUUGGACACAGGAAGGGGAACAUCACACACUGGGGCCUAUUGUGGGGUUGGUGGGGAGAGGGGAGGGAUAGCAUUAGGUGAUAUACCUAAUGUAAAUGACGAGUUAAUGGGUGCAGCACACCAACAUCGCACGUGUAUACAUAUGUAACAAACCUGCAAGUUGUGAUCACAUACCCUAGAACUUAAAGUAUAAAAAAAAAAAAAGAAGAUAGGGUUAGAAUUAGGGUUAGGAGAACCCAGAGGAGAAUAAUAAGGUGGGGGCACGGCUUUGAGGGUCUUCAUUCAUUUUUAUCCAUCCUUAGACUUUCUGCAGACUAAGCUUCAAGUUUUCAACUGCUGCUACAACAAAUUAUCACAAAUUAACAGCUCAAAAUAACACACAUUUAUCAUCAUAGUCCUGAAGGUCAGAAGUCACGAAUGGCUUAGAAGGUUUCUCUGCUCUAGGUCUCACAAGGCCAAAAUCAAGGUGUUGGCUGGCUGGGCUCCUAUCAGGAGGCUCCAGAGAGAAACCGCUUCUAAGUGCAUUCAGGUUGCUGGCAGAAUCCAGUUCCUUGUGGUUGCAGGCUGGGCUUCAGCUGGGGGCCACAUUUAGCUCCUGGAGGCCUCCCUCCUGUCCUUUCAUGUGGCCACCUGUGGUCCAAACCCCCCACAUCUCAGAGUCAGCACAGGCAGGACCAGUCAUCUCCUGCUUGGAAUAGCACGGAUUUCUUCUGCCAAAUCUCUCUUCUGCCUUCGUUUUCUAUCUCUGACUCCAGCCUAGGAGCGUUUUUCACUUUAAGGACUCAGGAUUAGGCUGGGCCUACCUGGAUAAUCCAGGCUAUUCAUUCUCCUUAAGACCCUUAACUUUAAU